AGGCAGCAGUGGGGAAUAUUGCUCAAUGGGCGCAAGCCUGAUGCAGCGACGCCGCGUGCGGGAUGACGGCUUCGGGUUGUAAACCAGUUUUGACUGGGAGCAAGGCCUUCGGGGUGAGUGUACCUUUCGAAUAAGCACAGGCUAUCUACGUGCCAGCAGCCGCGGUAAUACG
rnacentral:rRNA from 1 species